AAUCAAGAAUUAAAAUUAAUAUCCAUUAAUUUUUCAAUGAAAGACCACACGAUUUUAUUUGAAGCAGCUAUUAUUCGAUUUACAAAUGUGAUAUGCGAGACGGACAAUAAAAUAUUUGUGCUGCAUGAAUGUCGCUUGAAGGCAAUAAAGAGAUACAUAACUGUAAUGAACUUCAAUGGCACAUUACUUCAUCCUGUUAACGAUAUGAAAAUAAGAUAUCAACUAAAAAAAAAAGAGAAUGGGUUUAAGCCUUGGCUAUAUGAUAUAAGAGCUGACGUCUGCCUUUUUCUUAAAAAGAAUAACAAUCCCGUUAUUAAAUUAAUAUAUAAUGUGUUCAAGGAUCAUUCAAAUAUUAACCAUACAUGUCCCUUUGUGGGUCCAAUAAUAGUUAAAGACUUAUAUUUGACAACUGAGCGGAUACCGCUGCCGAUGCCAACAGGUGAAUAUUCUAUCGCCAUAAAC